UCCUAGUUAACCUAGGCAGUCUCGUUAGAGUUCCCGCCUUGACGCGUUGGCAACUAACGAUAAGGGUUGCGCUCGUUGCUGGACUUAACCAAACACCUCCCGGCACGAGCUGACGACAGCCAUGCAGCACCUAUAUAGAGACCCUUACGGGAAAUCACAUCUCUGUGAUCGUCCUCUACAUUUCGAGCCCAGGUAAGGUUCUUCGCGUUGCUUCGAAUUGAACCACAUGCUCCACCGCUUGUGCGGGCCCCCGUCAAUUCCUUUGAGUUUUAAUCUUGCGACCGUACUCCCCAGGCGGGAUGCUUAAUGCGUUAGCUGCGCCACUGACGAGUAAACCCGCCAACGGCUAGCAUCCAUCGUUUACGGCGUGGACUAC
rnacentral:misc_RNA from 1 species